rnacentral:rRNA from 1 species
GACGAACGCUGGCGGCGUGCCUAAUACAUGCAAGUUGAGCGCUGAAGAUUGGUGCUUGCACCAAUUUGAAGAGCAGCGAACGGGUGAGUAACGCGUGGGGAAUCUGCCUUUGAGCGGGGGACAACAUUUGGAAACGAAUGCUAAUACCGCAUAACAACUUUAAACACAAGUUUUAAGUUUGAAAGAUGCAAUUGCAUCACUCAAAGAUGAUCCCGCGUUGUAUUAGCUAGUUGGUGAGGUAAAGGCUCACCAAGGCGAUGAUACAUAGCCGACCUGAGAGGGUGAUCGGCCACAUUGGGACUGAGACACGGCCCAAACUCCUACGGGAGGCAGCAGUAGGGAAUCUUCGGCAAUGGACGAAAGUCUGACCGAGCAACGCCGCGUGAGUGAAGAAGGUUUUCGGAUCGUAAAACUCGGUUGGUAGAGAAGAACGUUGGUGAGAGUGGAAAGCUCAUCAAGUGACGGUAACUACCCAGAAAGGGACGGCUAACUACGUG